rnacentral:rRNA from 1 species
UAAUACGUAGGUGGCAAGCGUUGUCCGGAUUUACUGGGCGUAAAGGGCGUGCAGGCGGUCUGUUAAGUCUAGGGUGAAAGCUCCCGGCUCAACUGGGAGAGGUCCUUGGAUACUGGCGGACUUGAGGGAGGCAGAGGAGAAUAGAAUUCCCGGUGUAGUGGUGAUAUGCGUAGAUAUCGGGAGGAAUACCAGUGGCGAAGGCGGUUCUCUGGGACGGUACUGACGCUGAGACGCGAAAGCGGGGGGAGCGAACAGGA